UACAGAGGGGGCGAGCGUUGUUCGGAAUUACUGGGCGUAAAGGGCGCGUAGGCGGCCUGCUAAGUCGGACGUGAAAUCCCUCGGCUCAACCGGGGAACUGCGUCCGAUACUGGCGGGCUUGAAUCCGGGAGAGGAAUGGGGAAUUCCAGGUGUAGCGGUGAAAUGCGUAGAUAUCUGGAGGAACACCGGUGGCGAAGGCGGCAUUCUGGACCGGCAUUGACGCUGAUGCGCGAAAGCGUGGGGAGCAAACAGG
rnacentral:rRNA from 1 species